rnacentral:rRNA from 1 species
GACGAACGCUGGCGGCGUGCUUAACACAUGCAAGUCGAACGGAAAGACACUGAGUUUGUGGUGUGCUCGAGUGCCGAACGCGUGAGUAACACGUGUGUAACCUGCCCUUGACUUUCGGAUAACUUCACGAAACUGGGGCUAAGACCGGAUAGGAGAUCCUGCUGCAUGGUGGGCAUUGGAAAGUUGCGGCGGUUGCGGAUGGACGGGCGGCUUAUCAGCUUGUUGGUUGGGUAGUGGCUUACCAAGGGUUUGACGGGUCGGCGGCCUGGGAGGGUGACCGGCGUCCAUGCGACUGCGGGACGCACCAGACGCGAACGGGAGGCAGCAGUGGGGAACCUUGCACAGUGAGCCGGCGCCUGAUGCGGAGACGCUGCGUUCGGGAUGCCGGCUUUCUGGUUGUGAACCGCUUUCGCCUGUGACGAAGCGGUAGUGACGGUAAUGGGUAAAGAAGCACCGGCUAACUACGUG